rnacentral:rRNA from 1 species
UACGAUAUCUAUAACCUGAAUGCAUCUGAUCUCUUUUGAUCUCAGAAGCUAAGCAGGGACAGGCCUUGGAUGGAAGACUGCCUGGAAAUACUAGAUGUUGUAG